rnacentral:rRNA from 1 species
UGGGGAAUAUUGCGCAAUGGGCGAAAGCCUGACGCAGCAACGCCGCGUGUGUGAUGAAGGCCUUCGGGUUGUAAAGCACUGUUCAGAGGGAAGAAAUGGCGGGGUAAACACUUCGCUUUGACGGUACCUCUGAAGAAAGCACUGGCUAACUCCGUGCCAGCAGCCGCGGUAAUACGGAGAGUGCAAGCGUUGUUCGGAAUUAUUGGGCGUAAAGGGCGUCUAGGUGGCAUGGCAAGUCAGGUGUGAAAUC